rnacentral:rRNA from 1 species
ACGGGCCCGCACAAGCGGAGGAGCAUGUGGUUUAAUUCGAUGAUACGCGAGGAACCUUACCUGGGCUCGAACGUAAGAUGACUGUAGGUGAAAGCUUACAUCUCUUCGGAGCAUUUUACGAGGUGCUGCAUGGUUGUCGUCAGCUCGUGCCGUGAGGUGUCGGGUUAAGUCCCAUAACGAGCGCAACCCCUACCUUUAGUUGCCAUCAGGUUAAGCUGGGGACUCUAAAGGAACUGCCUACGCAAGUAGUGAGGAAGCGGGGAUGACGUCAAAUCAGCGCGGCCCUUACGUCCAGGGCUACACACGUGCUACAAUGGCCGAUACAGAGGGCAGCUACCUGGUGACAGGAUGCAAAUCUCCAAAGUCGGUCUCAGUUCGGAUCGGAGUCUGCAACCCGACUCCGUGAAGUUGGAUUCGCUAGUAAUCGCGCAUCAGCCAUGGCGCGGUGAAUACGUUCCCGGGCCUU